AACCCAUGUUGAGGAAAUUUCAGCAAGAGGUCUUUAAACCUCUCUCCCAUGUCUCAAAUGGAGACUCCAAUUCCGUUUGCACGAAGGAGGAUAUUUCAUUCCUAAGCUU